GAUGAACGCUGGCGGCGUGCCUAAUACAUGCAAGUCGAGCGAACAGACGAGGAGCUUGCUCCUCUGACGUUAGCGGCGGACGGGUGAGUAACACGUGUAUAACCUACCUAUAAGACUGGGAUAACUUCGGGAAACCGGAGCUAAUACCGGAUAAUAUAUUGAACCGCAUGGUUCAAUAGUGAAAGACGGUUUUGCUGUCACUUAUAGAUGGAUCCGCCCCGAAUUAGUUAGUUGGUAAGGUAACGGCUUACCAACGCAACGAUGCGUAGCCGACCUGAGAGGGUGAUCGGACACACUGGAACUGAGACACGGUCGAGACUCCUACGGUAGGCAGCAGUAGGGAAUCUUCCGCGAUGGGCGAAAGCUUGACGGAGCAAAGCGGCGUGAGGGAUGAAGGUCUUCGGAUCGUAAAACUCUGUUAUUAGGGAAGAACAAAUGUGUAAGUAACUAUGCACGUCUUGACGGUACCUAAUCAGAAAGCCACGGCUAACUACGUG
rnacentral:rRNA from 1 species